UAACACGUGGGUAACCUGCCUGUAAGACUGGGAUAACUCCGGGAAACCGGGGCUAAUACCGGAUGCUUGUUUGAACCGCAUGGUUCAAACAUAAAAGGUGGCUUCGGCUACCACUUACAGAUGGACCCGCGGCGCAUUAGCUAGUUGGUGAGGUAAUGGCUCACCAAGGCAACGAUGCGUAGCCGAACCUGAGAGGGUGAUCGGCCACACUGGGACUGAGACACGGCCCAGACUCCUACGGGAGGCAGCAGUAGGGAAUCUUCCGCAAUGGACGAAAGUCUGACGGAGCAACGCCGCGUGAGUGAUGAAGGUUUUCGGAUCGUAAAGCUCUGUUGUUAGGGAAGAACAAGUACCGUUCGAAUAGGGCGGUACCUUGACGGUACCUAACCAGAAAGCCACGGCUAACUACGUGCCAGCAGCCGCGGUAAUACGUAGGUGGCAAGCGUUGUCCGGAAUUAUUGGGCGUAAAGGGCUCGCAGGCGGUUUCUUAAGUCUGAUGUGAAAGCCCCCGGCUCACCGGGGAGGGUCAUUGGAAACUGGGGAACUUGAGUGCAGAAGAGGAGAGUGGAAUUCCACGUGUAGCGGUGAAAUGCGUAGAGAUGUGGAGGAACACCAGUGGCGAAGCGACUCUCUGGUCUGUAACUGACGCUGAGGAGCGAAAGCGUGGGGAGCGAACAGGAUUAGAUACCCUGGUAGUCCACGCCGUAA
rnacentral:rRNA from 1 species